rnacentral:rRNA from 1 species
CAUCGAGUUUUUUGAACGCAAGUUGCGCCCGAAGCCUUUGGCCGAGGGCACGCCUGCCUGGGCGUCACGC